rnacentral:rRNA from 1 species
AGAGUUUGAUCCUGGCUCAGGAUGAACGCUGGCGGCGUGCUUAACACAUGCAAGUCGAACGGUGAAGCAGAGCUUGCUCUGUGGAUCAGUGGCGAACGGGUGAGUAACACGUGAGCAAUCUGCCCCUGACUCUGGGAUAACAGCUGGAAACAGCUGCUAAUACCGGAUACGAGACGUGAAGGCAUCUUCAACGUCUGGAAAGAAUUUCGGUCAGGGAUGAGCUCGCGGCCUAUCAGCUAGUUGGUGAGGUAACGGCUCACCAAGGCGUCGACGGGUAGCCGGCCUGAGAGGGUGACCGGCCACACUGGGACUGAGACACGGCCCAGACUCCUACGGGAGGCAGCAGUGGGGAAUAUUGCACAAUGGGCGAAAACCUGAUGCAGCAACGCCGCGUGAGGGACGACGGCCUUCGGGUUGUAAACCUCUUUUAGCAGGGAAGAAGCGAAAGUGACGGUACCUGCAGAAAAAGCACCGGCUAACUACGUG